UAGGGAAUCUUCCACAAUGGACGAAAGCCUGAUGGAGCAACGCCGCGUGAGUGAAGAAGGUUUUCGGAUCGUAAAGCUCUGUUGUUGGUGAAGAAGGAUAGAGGCAGUAACUGGUCUUUAUUUGACGGUAAUCAACCAGAAAGUCACGGCUAACUACGCGCCAG
rnacentral:rRNA from 1 species